rnacentral:lncRNA from 1 species
AGCACCACCCAAAUUGCUGUCUACGGCUGAACCUGACCUUCAACAGGUCUUAACUCCUCAAUUUGAACUGACAAGCUAGUCAAGGGUGUGCCAGCACCCUAAAUUGCUAGGCAUGACCACCAGCUUGCCUCUUCCCCUUUUACUGCACUUGCACUUACUCUUAGACCCUAAGUUCUGCCCCCCUCCUAUGAGCCUUGCCUUGG